rnacentral:rRNA from 1 species
AGGACGAACGCUGGCGGCGUGCUUAACACAUGCAAGUCGAGCGGAAAGGCCUUUCGGGGGUACUCGAGCGGCGAACGGGUGAGUAACACGUGAGUAAUCUGCCCAUCGCUUCAGGAUAGCCAUCGGAAACGGUGAUUAAUACUGGAUAUGACAUUCCUUCGCGUGUUGGGGGUGUGGAAAGUUUUUUCGGCGGUUGGAUGUGCUCGCGGCCUAUCAGCUUGUUGGUGGGGUAAUGGCCUACCAAGGCUUUGACGGGUAGCCGGCCUGAGGAGGGUGACCGGCCACACGUGGGACUGAGACACGGCCCAGACUCCUACGGGA